UCUAAGGGAGAGGAGAUCAUAAACGAGAGAGAAGGAGAGAGACGAGUUUGUUUGAAGUUAAAAGGCAAGAACAUGGUGUUGGAUUCAGUUUCUUUUUGUUGAAGCUUGUAGGAGAAACAUCAAGUUCAAUGGUUCAGUUGCAUGUUCAAAGGUUGCUCCAUUGCAACCUGAAAGUCCCGGGUUUGAAGGGGGAGAUAGCCUCUCCUAGAUGGGGUCAACAGUCUCUAGGCUCUGCAAUGGCUGGAUUCCCAUGCAUAUUGGGCUGUCUGUAAAAUAGACGAGAAGGCAAUCAAUGAGGUAUUUCUGAAAGUCCUGGAUAAUUAGAUCAAAUGGUGCAUAUACCUGCGGAUCUGGCUUCACAAGCAAUUAAUCGGGACAUAAACUUUUUCUGGUGUCAUUGUACUUUCUGAUAUGGGGUGAGGCUGCAAAUGUCCACUUUCUUCCUGAAUGCAUUUGCUACAUGUUUGACCAUAUGGCGAAGGAGUUAGAUGCUAUUCCUGCUGCUGGCUGCACAAUAGAAAAUGAUUCUGUGUCCUUCCUCAAGCAGAUUGUUUAUCCUAUGUAUGAAACAUUGGCAGCGGAAGCUGCUAGAAACAAUAAUGGGAAAGCUGCGCAUUUCAGUGUGGCGGAAUUAUGACGACUUCAAUGAAUACUUUUGCUUUGUUUGCUUGUCAUUCAAUUAUGGAUGAACAAUGUGAUUCCUU